UACGUAGGGGGCAAGCGUUGUCCGGAUUUAUUGGGCGUAAAGAGCGUGUAGGCGGCCAAACAGGUCAGCUGUGAAACUCGAGGCUCAACCUCGAGACGUCGGUUGAAACCGUUUGGCUAGAGUCCGGAAGAGGAGAGUGGAAUUCCCGGUGUAGCGGUGAAAUGCGCAGAUAUCGGGAAGAACACCCGUGGCGAAGGCGGCUCUCUGGGACGGUACUGACGCUGAGACGCGAAAGCGUGGGAGCGAACAGG
rnacentral:rRNA from 1 species